rnacentral:tRNA from 1 species
CGGGCGUCGGUCAUACUCCUUACCAAAGCCUGAUGUAGGUAAUGUGCAGUGUCCACAACAGAUUGUCUGAUGAAAAAUAAUGAGCAAGCGCACCUGUUGAUGUAAUGAGUCCUGGACUCAUGCUGAUGCGGAACGAUUAAGCCUGAGGUUUAGUCGGAUUUCGUGUCCCCAUCGUCUAGAGGCCUAGGACACUGCCCUUUCACGGCUGUAACAGGGGUUCGAAUCCCCUUGGGGACGCCAUACCGAUAAUGAGUGAAAGACAUUAUCACCGAAUAUCUUAAAGAUGACUUUACCGAGUCGUGUUUAAGAUAUUGCUCUUUAACAAUCUGGAACAAGCUGAAAUUUGAAACGAUGCGGCUAAACAUAUCUCUCCGUGCAGUACUGAGAUGUGAUUUGGCUGUAUCAGAGUCUCUCAAAUAAUCGCAGCGCGAGAUGUCCAAGGACACCUUCGGGUUGUGAGGUUAAGCGACUAAACGUACAUAGUGGAGACCUUGGCAGCCUUGGCAGCUGUAUCAGAGUCUCUCAAAUAAUCGCAGCGCGAAAGUGACUUGAUGUAUCAAAGACACCUUCGGGUUGUGAGGUUAAGCGACUAAUCGUACACGGUGGAUGCCUUGGCAUA